CUCCACAGUUAUGACAGUAACAUUGAAAGAGUAAAGGGAAAAGCAGUUGGUAGGCCAAGAGGAAAAAAAUAUAGUACAGGGUCGUGGUAGGAUGUUAAAUCAAGAUUGAUCGGUACCAAAGGCAUGAUGUCUUAAAUGUCUACAAGCUUGCGCCAUUGGCUACAUGAAUAACUUGAAAUUGUUUACUAAGAAGAUACCUAUUAUAGAUCACGGAAGAUUGAAGCAUCUACUACUCUUAAUGUCGACGAUGUGGAUUGAUUUCAUUUUCAUGGCAAUAACGUGCAUAUUUUAUUUUUUAUUUUCGAUUUUCAUAUUCUUAUUAUAAAAUAUUUGCGUGCAUGUUUCAAGGACAGUGAAACAUUCAACUAUUGUUGAUCGGUGUUUUAAGGUCGUUGAAAUUUUGAAUAACAUUUUCUUUUUUCUAAUAACAUACAUAGAAGUAAAUAAGUGAGAAAUAUUAAUUGACUUGGUA